rnacentral:rRNA from 1 species
UACGAGGGGGGCAAGCGUUGUUCGGAAUUAUUGGGCGUAAAGGGUGCGUAGGCGGUGCGGUAAGUCUGUUGUGAAAUCUCCGGGCUCAACUCGGAGUCUGCAUCAGAAACUGCCGUGCUGGAGUGUGGGAGAGGUGAGUGGAAUUCCCGGUGUAGCGGUGAAAUGCGUAGAGAUCGGGAGGAACACCUGCGGCGAAAGCGGCUCACUGGACCAUAACUGACGCUGAUGCACGAAAGCUAGGGGAGCAAACAGGAUUAGAUACCCUGGUAGUCCUAGCCCUAAACGAUGAUCGCUUGGUGUGACAGGUACCCAAUCCUGUCGUGCCGGAGCUAACGCGUUAAGCGAUCCGCCUGGGGAGUACGGUCGCAAGGCUGAA